AUGGCCGGUGAUUUGCUGGAGACACGUUGGGCUUCCUUUCCGGGGGAACGAGCUCUGACGUCUCCGGCUAAAGCCCACUGGAGAUGCAGACCCGCUAGUGCCACGGCCCCGUCUGUCUUCCCCUUGACCUCCUGCUCCAGCGAAGUCACCACCUCCCCGGUCACCUUCGGCUGCCUGGCCAACGGCUACUUCCCCGAGCCGGUCACCGUGACAUGGGGCCCCAACGUCGACUCCUCGGGCGUGAGGACCUAUCCCUCCGUGCUGCAACCUUCCAGCAGCCUCUACUCGCUCAGCAGCCAGGUCACCGUCCUGGCCAGCAGCUGGGAGUCUAACACCUAUAGCUGCACCGUAAAGCACCCGCCCACCAGCUCCAGCAUCUCCAAGGAAAUCCCAAAGCCCAUCCCCAUUAAACCCCAGGUGGAAGUCUUCUACAACUGCAACAGCCAGUCAGAGGUUGAGCUGGUUUGCUUAAUCUCCGGCUUCUACCCCCAGCGUGUGAACGUGGACUGGCUGGUGGAAGGCGAGAAACCAGCUGUUAACACUGAGCAGCCCACGAAGGACGCUGAUGGUCGAACCUACAGCACCCGCAGCAAUAUCACUGUCUCCAAGAGCGAAUGGCUGGCGGGCAAGACGUACACUUGCCAUGUGUCCCAGCCGGGCGGCACCCCAACGCAGGCCCACGCCCAGAAGUGCGAAGAAGAAACAACGUCUCCCAGCAACAUCCAGGUAUUCCUGGUGCCCCCAUCUCCCGCUGCCCUGUACGUGGCCCAGAGCCCCAUGCUCACCUGCCUGGUGGUCAACCUGCCUAGCAACUCCGGCCUCCAGGUGGUCUGGUCCCGGGAGAAGCCGGGCUCUAUUGUCCCUGAACCGCUGAACCUCACUGAGCAGCUCAACAGCACCUUCACCGCCUCCAGCUCCAUGCCCAUCUUCACCCGCGACUGGGAGGCUGGAGAGACCUUCACCUGCAAAGUGGAGCACUCAGAGCUGCCCUCGCCCCUCAUCAAAUCGAUCUCCAAGAAGCCAGGCAGGCACUCUGGCCCUGGCAUCUACCUCCUGCACCCUCACAACGACGAGCUGAGCAGCUCCGAAGACUCCGUCAGCCUCACCUGCCUGGUGCGGGGCUUCUUCCCCGAGGACAUCUCGGUGCAGUGGAUGAAGAACCACAAACCCGAUGAGAGCUUGGAAUACAUCACCACCCAGCCCAUCAAGGACGGAGCCGGCGACUCAAACUUCUUCCUCUACAGCAAGCUGAAAGUCAGCAAGGCCAGCUGGAACACUGGGGACACCUACACUUGCAUGGUCAUCCACGAAGCCCUGCAGGUGAAGUUCACCCAACGCAGCAUCAGCAAAGUCUCUGAGGUGAUCGUGUUAGGUGAGUUUUGCAGCGAGGACGGAGACGAGGAGCUGGACGGCCUCUGGUCCACCAUCUCAGUCUUCAUCACCCUUUUCCUCUUGAGCGUGUGCUACAGCGCCACCAUGACCCUGUUCAAGGUGAAGUGGCUUUUCUCUGCCAUGGUGCAGCUGAAGCAGGCGAGUGGCCCUGAGUACAAGAACGUGAUCCAGGGCGUGGUGUAGGGGCCACUGCCCCCAU